UGAGUUUGAUCUUGGCUCUUGUUAAAUGCUUACACUAGAUAUAAUACAUUGCAAGUAGAACGAUUUUUUAAGUUGCAUAUUGGUGAGUAAAUAAAGAAUGUGUGUUUUAAAUUAAAAAAUAGCAAGAUGAUUAUAUUGUUUAAAGGUAUUCCGUUUGAAAAAACAGCUUUAAUUAGUUUUAGGUUGUUGGUAAUUAAAAAGAUUACCAAACUUAUGAUACUUUGUUAUUCUUAGCGGAUGGGUAACCACAUUGAAAUUGAAAUAUUUUCAACUCUUUAAUUUAGAGCAGCAGUAGAGAAUUUUGGACAAUUUGUGAAAACAAGAUCCAGUUAUAGUGUGUGGUGGACGACAGUUUUUUAAAUUGUAAACACCGGUUAUUAAUUAAAAAUAUGACAAAAUUAAAGAAAAAUCGAUACCAAUAUGCGUGCCAGCAGUAGCGGUAAUACGUGAUCGAUUAGCAUUAUCAAUUAUUACUGGGUGUAAAACGUUUGAUGAUUGUAAUAAGGAAUGUUUAAUUUAUAAUAUUACUAAAUGUGUAAUCUAGAUUAAUAACUCUAUUACUAGAAUCUUUUUAAAGAAAAUAAAAUUAGAUAAUAAAGUGUGAAAACUGAUGAAGUAUCCAGGAAUAUCAAUUACGAAGGUAAUUUUCUUAUUUAGAUUGACAUUAUAAAACGAAAGCCGCGGUAGCAAACCAGAUUAGAUACCUGGGUAGUCGCGUGCCGUAAACAAUGAAUUCAAACAAAUUAUUGCUAUUUGUUAUGCUAACGUAAAAGAAUUCUACCUGAAAACUAAAACCGCAAGGUUGAAAUUCAAAAGAAUUGGCGGGGGAAGAUAUACAUGCUGGAUUGUGUGGCUUAAUUUGAUAUUACACAAAUAACCUUACCGUAUUUUGAAUAGAACAAUUAGAAAUGAAAAAUUUUUGAUAUAAAAUGUUUGUACAGGUGUUGCAUGGCUGUUUUCAACUCGUGCUGUGAAGUGUUUCGUUAACUCGAUAAACGGGUGAAACCCUUCAAUUUUUGUCAUAAGCAAAAUGAAAAAGGAUUAAAACAAGUAAUCAUGACCUUUAUAAUACGGGCUGCAUACGCAAUACAAUGUUUAUUACAAAACGAAGCUAUAAUGUAUAAUUGGAGCAAUCGUAAAAAAUAAAAUAAGUUCGAAUUGUAAACUGAAAUUGUUCACAUAAAGAUGGAAUCAUCAGUAAUCGGUUAUCAUAAUGCAUCGAUGAACCACAGAAUUCUUUCUUGCACACACCGCCCGUCAUAAACUGAAAGUUGUGUUUUUCAAGUUUUACAACGUUUUAUUUUUUUGUUGAAACUUUAAAGAGUUGUAUUAUUAGAAACGAUACAGCAAUUAGUUUAAAGUCGUAACAAGGUAAUGCUAUGGGAACAUUGUGUUG
rnacentral:rRNA from 1 species